AGUGAACGCUGGCGGUAGGCCUAACACAUGCAAGUCGAACGGCAGCACAGUAAGAGCUUGCUCUUACGGGUGGCGAGUGGCGGACGGGUGAGGAAUACAUCGGAAUCUACUUUUUCGUGGGGGAUAACGUAGGGAAGGUUAGGAUAAUACAGAAUCCACCGUAGGGGGGAAGGCGGGGGUUAUUGGCACCUUGGGGGAUUGAAUGCGCGGUUGCGGGGUUAGCUAGUUGGGGGGGUAAGGGCCAACCAAGGGGACGAUACGUAGCUGGUCGGAGAGGAUGAUCAGCCACACUGGAACUGAAACACCGUCCAGACUCCUACGGGAGGCAGCAGUGGGGAAUAUUGGACAAUGGGCGCAAGCCUGAUCCAGCCAUACCGCGUGGGUGAAGAAGGCCUUCGGGUUGUAAAGCCCUUUUGUUGGGAAAGAAACGCAGCAGGUUAAUACCCCGCUGUUCUGACGGUACCCAAAGAAUAAGCACCGGCUAACUUCGUG
rnacentral:rRNA from 1 species